GCCCAAGUGGUGAAAUUGGUAUACACGCUAGUUUCAGGUACUAGUGGCUUCACGGCCGUGUAGGUUCGAGUCCUAUCUUGGGCACCA
rnacentral:tRNA from 5 species